rnacentral:rRNA from 1 species
GCGGCUGAUUACGCUAGUUGGUGAGGUCACGGCCCACCAAGGCUUUGAUCAGUAGCUGCCAUGAGAGUGGGAGCAGCGAGAUUCAAACUUAGACACGGUUGAAAGCCUUACGAGGUGCAGCAGGCGAGAAAACUCCACAAUGCGCGCAAGCGUGAUGGGGCCAGGCGAAGUGCGGGGAUUAAAAGUUCCCGCUGUUGCCAUAUGUACAAAGUAUGGCGAGAAAGGUGAGGGCAAGGCUGGUGCCAGCAGCCGCGGUAAAACCAGCUCAUCAAGUGUUCAAGGCUAAUAUUGAGCUUAAAGCACUCGUAGCCGGCCAUGCAAGUCCCUGGUAAAAUCCGCAGGCUCAGCCUGCGGCGCGCUAGGGAUACUGCACGGCUUGGAGCGGGAGACGUAAGCGGUAUGCUCGGGGUACCGGUGAAAUGGGAUAAUCCCGAGUGGACCACCGGUGGCGAAGGCGGCUUACGAGAACGCGUCCGACGGUGAUGGGUGAAAGCUGGGGGAGCAAACCGGAUUAGAUACCCGGGUAGUCCCAGCUGUAAACGAUGCUCCCUAGGUGUGACGGCUGCUACGAGCCGCCGUUGUGCCGAAGCGAAAGCGUUAAGGGAGCCGCUUGGGGAGUACGGUCGCAAGACUGAAACUUAAAGGAAUUGACGGGGGAAUACCACAAGGGGUGAAGCCUGCGGUUUAAUUGGACUCAACGCCGGGAAACUUACCAGGGGCGAUAGCUGCAUGAGGGACAGGCUGACGACCUUUCCCGACUGGCUAAGAGGUAGUGCAUGGCCGUCGCCAGUUCGUGCCGUGAGGUGUCUUGUUAAGUCAAGCAACGAACGAAACCCGCGCUGCUAAUUGCAACCGAUAACGUUGUGACGUUCCGGGCACAUUAGCGGGACCGCCACUGCUAAAGUGGAGGAAGGUGCGGGCCACGGCAGGUCAGUAUGCUCCGAAUCCACCUGGGCCACACGCGGGCUGCAAAGGCAGGGACAAUGCGUCGCUACACCGAAUGGUGAUGCUAAUCGUGAAACCCUGUCUCAGUUGGAAUUGGGGGCUGCAACUCGCCCCCAUGAACUUGGAAUCCCUAGUAUUCGCGUGUCAACAUCGCGCGGAGAAUGCGUCUCUAUUCCUUGCACACACCGCCCGUCGCUUCAUGGGAGUGGUUCUUGUGUGAGGCCCGUUCAUUUGGGCGGGUCAAACAUUAGGAUCGCGACUAGGAAGAAGUCGUAACAAGGUA